GAAUUUUUCAAGGUAGGCCAUCUGUCCUGUAGUGGCUGUCCAAGAAAAUUAUAACCUAUUUUGGGGCCUUAUUAGACAAUAAAGAGAGAAUACUAAUUAUGCAAUGCUCUUCCCAUUUCUAAAUUAAAGCUGCAAUGCCUCGAGGACUUUCUAAUUAUUCUAGCCCUUUAAGUCCGCUCAAAGGAUGCAUGUAACAUCUUCUAGCCUCCUACGUCAAGAUUGGAAGGUGCAUUUCAGAAUAGCCUUGCUUUUGUUGUCGUUUUUUCCCCUCUCCCGGGUUUAUGUUUGGCGAUUCUAGCUUUUGCUGAACUAUCGUUCCUGAAAAGUAAAUCGAGUUUACAUUGGUCAAACAUGAUUUCCUU
rnacentral:misc_RNA from 1 species